UACGUAGGGUGCAAGCGUUGUCCGGAAUUAUUGGGCGUAAAGAGCUCGUAGGCGGUUUGUCGCGUCUGCUGUGAAAACUGGAGGCUCAACCUCCAGCCUGCAGUGGGUACGGGCAGACUAGAGUGCGGUAGGGGAGAUUGGAAUUCCUGGUGUAGCGGUGGAAUGCGCAGAUAUCAGGAGGAACACCGAUGGCGAAGGCAGAUCUCUGGGCCGUAACUGACGCUGAGGAGCGAAAGCAUGGGGAGCGAACAGG
rnacentral:rRNA from 2 species